rnacentral:rRNA from 1 species
GACGAACGCUGGCGGCGUGCCUAAUACAUGCAAGUAGAACGCUGAAGGAGGAGCUUGCUUCUCCGGAUGAGUUGCGAACGGGUGAGUAACGCGUAGGUAACCUGCCUGGUAGCGGGGGAUAACUAUUGGAAACGAUAGCUAAUACCGCAUAACAGUAGAUGUUGCAUGACAUUUGCUUAAAAGGUGCAAUUGCAUCACUACCAGAUGGACCUGCGUUGUAUUAGCUAGUUGGUGAGGUAACGGCUCACCAAGGCGACGAUACAUAGCCGACCUGAGAGGGUGAUCGGCCACACUGGGACUGCGACACGGCCCAGACUCCUACGGGAGGCAGCAGUAGGGAAUCUUCGGCAAUGGACGGAAGUCUGACCGAGCAACGCCGCGUGAGUGAAGAAGGUUUUCGGAUCGUAAAGCUCUGUUGUAAGAGAAGAACGAGUGUGAGAGUGGAAAGUUCACACUGUGACGGUAUCUUACCAGAAAGGGACGGCUAACUACGUG